CGUUGAGAAGUUCGUUGUGCAAAUCAAUGCGUCUUGAAAAUUAAAUCUUACUAUUUUGAUUAAGAGUGGUCUACAUAUUUAAAAGUAAUAAAAACAUUUUGGGAUAUUAUAUUUCUAGUAGAAUGAAUCGAAAAAAAUUUUUAAGAGUUAUAGAAUAAAGUACUGUAAAGGAAAGAUGAAAUAAACUGAAAAGUUAGUUAAAGAAAAGUAGAGUUAAAUGCUUGUACCUUGUGUAUUAGGGAAAAUCAAAAUAAGCUUAUUAAGUUAAGUAUUCCCGAAAGAAAAAGAGCUAAUAUAGUCGAACAGUUUUCGUAUUAAUGAAAUUAUAAAGUCUAUAUUAGUAGUGAAACGCUAGUCGAUUUUUCAUAUCUGGUUGUUGGAGAAUUAAAUUAAAUUUAGCUAUUUUAAGGUAAAUAAAGCUUUAAAAUAAGAAAGAAUAGGAGGGAAAAGCUUCUUAUUCUAAAAAUAAGUAAAUUAUAAUAAAAGAAAUCAAAAUAUUACUGAAUUAGGCUUAAAAACAGCCAUAUU
rnacentral:rRNA from 1 species